ACGAACGCUGGCGGCAGGCCUCACACAUGCAAGUCGAGCGCCCCGCAAGGGGAGCGGCGGACGGGUGAGUAACGCGUGGGAAUAUGCCCUUUGCUACGGAAUAGUCUCGGGAAACUGGGGGUAAUACCGUAUACGCCCUUUGGGGGAAAGAUUUAUCGGCGAAGGAUUAGCCCGCGUUGGAUUAGGUAGUUGGUGGGGUAAUGGCCUACCAAGCCGACGAUCCAUAGCUGGUUUGAGAGGAUGAUCAGCCACACUGGGACUGAGACACGGCCCAGACUCCUACGGGAGGCAGCAGUGGGGAAUCUUAGACAAUGGGGGCAACCCUGAUCUAGCCAUGCCGCGUGAGUGAUGAAGGCCUUAGGGUUGUAAAGCUCUUUCAGCUGGGAAGAUAAUGACGGUACCAGCAGAAGAAGCCCCGGCUAACUCCGUG
rnacentral:rRNA from 1 species